UGGCUCAGAGUGAACGCUGGCGGUAGGCCUAACACAUGCAAGUCGAACGGCAGCACAGGAGAGCUUGCUCUCUGGGUGGCGAGUGGCGGACGGGUGAGGAAUACAUCGGAAUCUACUUUUUCGUGGGGGAUAACGUAGGGAAACUUACGCUAAUACCGCAUACGACCUACGGGUGAAAGCAGGGGACCUUCGGGCCUUGCGCGAUUGAAUGAGCCGAUGUCGGAUUAGCUAGUUGGCGGGGUAAAGGCCCACCAAGGCGACGAUCCGUAGCUGGUCUGAGAGGAUGAUCAGCCACACUGGAACUGAGACACGGUCCAGACUCCUACGGGAGGCAGCAGUGGGGAAUAUUGGACAAUGGGCGCAAGCCUGAUCCAGCCAUACCGCGUGGGUGAAGAAGGCCUUCGGGUUGUAAAGCCCUUUUGUUGGGAAAGAAAUCCAGCUGGCUAAUACCCGGUUGGGAUGACGGUACCCAAAGAAUAAGCACCGGCUAACUUCGUGCCAGCAGCCGCGGUAAUACGAAGGGUGCAAGCGUUACUCGGAAUUACUGGGCGUAAAGCGUGCGUAGGUGGUCGUUUAAGUCCGUUGUGAAAGCCCUGGGCUCAACCUGGGAACUGCAGUGGAUACUGGGCGACUAGAAUGUGGUAGAGGGUAGCGGAAUUCCUGGUGUAGCAGUGAAAUGCGUAGAGAUCAGGAGGAACAUCCAUGGCGAAGGCAGCUACCUGGACCAACAUUGACACUGAGGCACGAA
rnacentral:rRNA from 1 species